rnacentral:rRNA from 1 species
UGCCUAUUGACAACACCAUAAUAGGUAAAUCCUGCCCAGUGAUUAAUUUAAACGGCCGCGGUAUCCUGACCGUGCAAAGGUAGCAUAAUCAUUUGCCCCCUAAUUAGGGGCUUGUAUGAACGGACAAACGAGAGUCUAGCUGUCUCUAGUACAAUCUUAAAACCUAACCUUUAGGUGAAGAGGCCUAAAUUUAUUAAAAAGACAAGAAGACCCUGUCGAGCUUUAUCUUAUAUAGGAAAAUAUCCACAUCCAUCCCUAUUUACAGAUUUUGUUGGGGCGACAAAGGAAUAACCAUAAAUUCCUAACUACCUAAGAUAUCAUAUCUAACAAAAGACCCAAAAAUUUUGACCUCAGAUACUAGCUACCGCAGGGAUAACAGACUAAUUUUCCUUAAGAGCCCAAAUCUACAGGAAAGUUUGGCACCUCGAUGUUGGCUUAGGGAUCUCUUCCAAAUGCAGCCGUUUGAAAAGAGGGUUUGUUCAACCCUUAAUUC